rnacentral:tRNA from 1 species
GUGGGUAUAGCUCAGUGGUAGAGUGUGUGCUUAGCAUGCGUGAGGUCCUGGGUUCAAUCCCUAGUACCUCCA